UACGUAGGGGGCAAGCGUUGUCCGGAAUCAUUGGGCGUAAAGCGCGCGUAGGCGGCCCGGUAAGUCCGUUGUGAAAGUCAAAGGCUCAACCUUUGAACGCCGAUGGAUACUGCCGGGCUAGAGUCCGGAAGAGGCGAGUGGAAUUCCCGGUGUAGCGGUGAAAUGCGCAGAUAUCGGGAGGAACACCAAUGGCGAAGGCAGCUCGCUGGGACGGUACUGACGCUGAGACGCGAAAGCGUGGGGAGCAAACAGGG
rnacentral:rRNA from 1 species